rnacentral:tRNA from 1 species
AGUUAAUGAGCUUGAACAAGCAUAUGUUUUGAAAACAUAAUAUAGAAAUCCAAAUUUUCUAUUAACUU